UGUUUUUAUACACGGAAGUAUAAGUGAAGUAAAAUAGGUAUAGCUACACACCAGGUCACUGCAGCGGGGACUCGAGAGAUCCUACGUGUUGAAACAUACCAGUGAUGCUGCAGAAACAACCUGGGACAUGGCUUCUGCAAGACAAUCUGCUUUAGAGUACAUUACAAAUGGAAGGCUACGUCUCAUCGGAAGGCUCCAGAAUCUUCCCCUCAUUGUGGAAAACCUGUUCCAGUGCAAGAUUCUUCACGGGGAGCAAGUCAGUAAAAUUGAGGCUCAAGUUGACUGUUCUGAACAAACCAGAAACAUACUGGACUGGGUCUCGGUCAAAGGAGAGGCUGCAUGCUAUGAGUUGCUGAAAAUUCUACACAUCACAAGGAAGAGGACCUUAGACGACGCUGACUUACAGCAAUGGAUCAGCUGCUUCCCCUUUAAGGAAGACCCAGAGAUGACAGACUACCUUGUUGGUUCAAAACCCUGUCACGGAUAUCAGACACAGCUGAAAUGUAAAGCACGGAAGAUCACAAAUGGUGCAUGGAAACAAAGCUGUAGUCUCCUACCAGAGACAUGUAGAAAUGAGGGGACUUUAUCUUACACCCCUCUUGUGUUAGAUACAGAUUUGCAUUCAUCUCUCUCCAAAAUUAAAGUGAAGAGCAAAAGAUGCAAGAAAGCUCGCCCUAAAAAGCUAAAGAGCUUCAUCCCCACGGCCAAACAGGAAACAUCCCCUGCUGACCUGCUUAGGACACAUGAGAAAAAAAUCCUCCUUUUUGGAAAACCUGGAAUUGGAAAAACAACAGUCGCCCAUCAAAUGUUGAACCUCUGGGCAGAGAAAGAUCACAGAGAACUAGAUUACAUGUUUUAUUUUGACGUGAGAGACAUUUCACACAGAAAACCCAUGAGCCUGGAGGACCUUCUCUUUAACAUGUACAGUGAGCCCAAAAAAAGUAAAGAAGAAGUGUUACAGGAUAUUAAGGAGAACUCUGAAAACGUUGUCAUCAUAUUUGAUGGAAUCACAGACCUCUCCUCUC